ACAUAUGCCAAACACAACAAAAGCAGCAAAAGACGAAGCAUAAUUGUUGUCGUGUGCAGCCCUUACUAGUAUAUCGCAUCGGUGGAUGAACGUGAUUUAAAAGGCAUCAACGAAACAUUCGGUUCAAUGGUCAUGUUUAGCAAAACCUUGCCUAUUUAAACACCAUGAGCAGAGGUACCUAGAGAUCGGACGAACAAAGAUUCGGAUAUCAUGAUCUUGUGAUAGUGUCGCGUCUCAAAUUAAUGCAAAACAAUAUAUUGACAUCUCAAUUCUAUACAUGCGUAAGAAUAAAAACCUCAACCCUAACCCUAACUGAAUUAAAAUCAUUGUAUUAAAACGGUACCUGGUCAACUAGCCAUUUUAAGGCAAAUAGUCUAAAAUAAUAGACAUGUUAUACAGGAUUCUUCCAAUCCCGUACGUCUAAACUGGACCAUUUCCUGUAUUGGUGGAGGAGAAAACUGAUGCUCCCUCCUAUUGGGAUACAGAAUGAUGCAGAGAACCCAAUAUUCAAAAGCUGGAGCUACAGCUGCGGCAAAUUAAAAUGGAAAUUAUGAUGGCAGUGGCCUACUUGUGUUUCACAAACCUUCCACCGAGAUUGAGACCAGCAUGCAAGACCAAAGUCAAAAAACACAACAAGAUUCACAAUAUGGAAUCGAAAGGAGCUGACAGGGUAGACUGAUUUAUUAAAACACAGAUGAUAACACAGAAAGACGUUUCAACAGCGGUAGUCUUCGAUAUGUUAAAGAUACUGCUGUGGGUGUACAUGGACUUCUGAAGCAUCAGUGUGAUUUACCACCUGUGUGAAAGCAACAUCUCCAGUCAGAAAUAAUUAUCAAACUCCUGAGCAGCAUGCAUAUUCCUCAGAAUCCCCUACAUCUCUACAUAGAGGGACAAGCAAACAGCCACAUCAUAUUCCUGAGGACCUUUACAUCUCUACAAGGAGGGACACACAAACAGACACAUCAUAUUCCUGAGGACCUUUACAUAUCUACUAGGAGGGACACAUAAACAGACACAUCUUAUUCCUGAGGACCUUUACAUCUCUACAAGGAGGGACACACAAACAGACACAUCAUAUUUCUGAGGACCUUUACAUAUCUACUAGGAGGGACACAUAAACAGACACAUCAUAUUCCUGAGGACCUUCACAUCUCUACAAGGAGGGACAUACAAAUAGACGCAUCAUAUUCCUGAGGACCUUUACAUCUCAACAAUGAGGGACACACAAACAGACGCAUCAUAUUCCUGAGGACCUUUACAUCUCAACAAUGAGGGACACACAAACAGCCACAUCAUAUUCCUGAGGACCUUUACAUCUCAAAAUAGAGGGACACACAAACAGCCACAUCAUAUUCCUGAGGACCUUUACAACUCAAAAUAGAGGGACACACAAACAGCCACAUCAUAUAUUCCUGAGAACCUUUACAACUCAAAAUAGAGGGACACACAAACAGCCACAUCAUAUUCCUGAGAACCUUUACAACUCAAAAUAGAGGGACAUACAAACAGCCACAUCAUAUUCCUGAGAACCUUUACAACUCAAAAUAGAGGGGCACACAAACAGCCACAUCAUAUUCCUGAGAACCUUUACAACUCAAAAUAGAGGGACAUACAAACAGCCACAUCAUAUUCCUGAGGAUCUUUACAUCUCAACAUAGAGGGACACAUAAACAGCCACAUCAUUUUCCUGAAAACCUUUACAUUUCAACAUAGAGGGACACAUAAACAGCCACAUCAUAUUCCUGAGGACCUUUACAUCUCAACAUAGAGGGACACACAAACAGCCACAUCAUGUUCCUGGAGACCUUUACAUCUCAAUAUUUAGUGACACACAAACAGCCAUAUCAUAUUCCUGAGGACCUUUCAGCAAAUUGAGUUAUUGUCCUGUGUUACGUUUCUUGAUCAGAACCAUUUUUGAAAACUACAGGAUGUAUUUCAACUACACACGAUAGUUAAGCACAAUGAGAAUAAGUAGAGUGUACAAGAAACUGUUAAAGCUACUAACAGAUCGUUUGCCCUUUGUAACUUUUUCAUAACCAGCUGGCUCCGAUUUCGCGAAACUACUUAAGCUUUACAGGCUUAAGUAGCUUAUUUCAAAAUGCCAAAAUAUAUAUUUAACUAGAUUUUGAUAAAUCAUAAAAACCUCUUCUGAUAAUCAUGAUGAUAAUUCCUUUCUCAAGUAUAAAAUCUCUUAAAGAAGUAAACAUUAUUAUUGAAAUCCAAAAAUAGUGAGCUUAGCUUAAUCCUGUUUAUAGGGACUUCAGAAGAUUCGAGAUUUCGGGGCCAGAGCAUUUCUUCAACAUUUCUAGAUCAAAUUCAGUGGAGCUUCAUUCAAUGAUAUAAUUGAAUGAGAGUAAGUACAUUAUACAAGAUCUACUAGUCAAAUUAAGCUUUUCGCAGUUAUUGCCAUGUAUGACAUUUUUCCUUGUCCAUAACUUAAAAAUACUUGUUAGAACUUAAUUUAACUACAUACAAUUGUAAAGCACAAUAAGUAAAGUUGACAUAACACUAUUAUACCUUAUAAAGAUGGCAUUAUUCCCCUGUCCGGAACAUAACUACUUGAUGAAACAUUUUUAAAGCACAAUGAGCGGAAAUGCAUUGUAUAAAAAGCAUAUCUCUAUUUCAGCUCAGUGCAGAGCUACUUCCCUUUGUCACUUUUUUGUUCGGAAAACUUAAAUACUACUCGAUGGAAUUUAAUUUACAACUCUGUUUUAGGGAAUAUUAGAAUAAUAAGGAAUGCUACACUGCUUUCCCUAGCGCCGGUUGGUGUCUCAGUUUGUUGAAGGAUUUGCAUAAUAGCAACAAUACAUUCAAGAUCUAAGCAAGUAUAUCAUGUAUUGAUUGAAAAAAAUUGUAUGUGCUCCCAACAUAACUUAAUAAUUAUUAAUGAUUAUGUUUGAUUAUACGUAUAGGAAAACAAAGCAAGUUAUGGACCUUUUUCUUUUGACUUGAACAUUCUGAUUAAGGUUUUGCAUGUAAGCACACAUAUCAGCCACUAGUUGAUGCAUUGAUUGUAUUUCGACUUUAUACAAUGAUACUCAACCUUUCAUCCCAUUCAAAUAACCAAGUUUAUUUGUGACAUUUGUACUCAACUAUCCAACC